AUAUCACAUUGCGUAUAUGAUAACAGGUCAGUGCGCUAUUACGGAGAAAUAUAUCGUUACAUAUUUUCAGCUCAAAUUUAUUUUGCUUAAUAAUAUUAGAUGAUGGAUGAAAGUGGAUUUUAGUUGUAAAUGCUUAUCAUCGCUGUUUGUUUCUAUAACUUUACUUUCAGUCGGAACUCAGCCUCUUCAAAAUAACAUAAUUAAUUUCUACCUAUCCCAAGAUGCAAUCAAUUACAAAAAAAAAAAAAACGUAAAAAUUAAUUAAAUAUUAUUCAAACUCUUAGACCUCCAAUUUUUUCACCAUUUAUUUAUUGCCAAACAAAAAGCAGAACUUGAAAAUUUUAAUUUCAUAGCUAAGACUCUAGCUCAGUGGAAAGCCUACAGAUAGUUCUAUAAACCUCAUCUGUCCAUGUGGAGCACUCGCGUGUUCGUCCGACUAGUGUACGACACGAAUGCUCCCAUGUCUGAGAUGAUAAAUACUUAGCGUUCUGAUGAAUACAUACGUAUUCUUUUGAAUCUUCAAAUAUAUUAACUAUCAAUGAAAAUUUUAUUCAUUUUAAUUCGUACAAGAGAUACAAUAAUACUUUAACAAAAUUAAUAUUUUAUAUUAAUAUUAUAUUUUAUUAAUAAUGUUCAUACCAUAUGAUGCGUCUCCGUCGAAACCC
rnacentral:lncRNA from 1 species